AGUACUAUUGCUAUCAUUUGCAGCUUAUCUGAAUCAUUCACACUACACUAUUUCCCGAUGAAUAUUCUUUGGAUGAUACAUUGGACAAUAUUUUCAACCCAAUAAUGGAAGGAAUAUGAAUAAAUAGGAUCCAAUUAUUUUAUGGUAUUCUCAUUGUUUUAUUUCUGUGCAAUAUGCAUCACUUACUGAGAAAACAAUAGCUAUAUAUGUAUUAAUGCAUUUACGUAUGUUAAUGUGUGUCUGCGUGUAGAAAAUGCUCACAUGCAUAUAAUCCCCAAGAAUCUUUAGAAUCUUGGACUUGAUGAGCAAUGAAAUAUAUUCUCAGGUCUUGACUAAUUUUACCAAAAACCAAGUGGAUGUUUACGUUAAUUAUGACUGGAGCAACAACUUAAAUCAAUUAUAUUUGAAAUAUUCAUACAGUUAAUCAUUCGUCUCUUUUGUUAUUUAUAUUUUACCAUAACUGCAAAAAAAAUCUACAUUGAUAGCACAUUUUAAUAGCAUGUUUUACUAAACUGCUAUCGUAGAUGAUUAAGAAAUUUUCAUAUUAUAUCAUAGCGUUAGAUAAAUGCUAUAAUAUAAUUAAACGCUACGAUAAAGUUUCAACAAGCAGGAACCUAAAACUAAAUUUUACCUUAAUGAAAAUCACUAAACUAAUCAUUAUCCUUCUCCUAACUCUCAUUUUCCCACCCUCAACUCUCGCCUAAACCACCUAAACCCUAUCUUUGUUAUUCCCUUUCCUUUCUAGGGUCUGAGUCUGAGACACGAGUGCACAAAAAAAGAAAAAAAAAAAGGGUCCGAGACAUGAGAGACAGAAGAGAAGGGAGAAGAGACGAAACAGGGAUAGAGAGGAGACAGAGCUCGGGUGUGUCUUGCUUCGUCUCCGAUAAGCAGAGCUUGGGUUGGGUCGGGUCUUGCUUUGUCUCCGCCGUUUUCGCCUCUGCUUCAUAGAUCCGCCGUAUUCGAGAUCCGUCGCCGCUUGUACCUUUCUUCAAAACUCGUCUCGAGAGAAGAGAAGGCAGAAGACGGAGUCGUCUUCUCGAAUCACUCUUCCCUCGUCAAUGGAGACUGACAACUCUCACUCUCAUUCCUCUCCUCAGGAGCUGUGUCUUAGAUCGCAGAGGAAGUCCGUUCUAAAGCUCUGUUGUAUUGCAAGAUGUGGCAGUAGUAGUCACGAACUCAAAACCGGCUGAGAAAUGCUAAGAUAAGACUUUUAUCAAUUCCAUCAUAAGAAGCAGACAAGCUUGCAACGUAGCGUAAUGGUGGGGAACAGGAGUCAACAGUUAGUAUCACGGUGGUUGGAGCAUCUGGUGAUCUUGCUAAGAAGAAAAUAUUCCCAGCCUGUGAAUUUCUUCUUGUGAGAUUUUUUUUUCCCAGUGGUGUUUACAAUGAAUAUCAGAAUAUGGUCGUUGCUCCUGUAGUUUACUGCAAGAAGGUUACUGAGACUUCCAAAACGGUAAUCAUCUAGACUUGGACCUAAUCAUGUUGUGCUUAUGAGCUUUUGAAUCAGUAAGUUUUUGAAUUCUUUCAGGCGAGUGCAUUGUUGAUUAAUGCAUGGCAGAUUCUGGCAUUCUGCUGCUAUUGCAAUCAUGAAAACUGAUCUUGUAAGCAAGAGUGUGGCAGUUGAAUCACAGUUAGGUUUAAGAAACUGAGUUGCAUUAUUUUUCCUGUAAUCUCAUAUAUCUUACAAAGAUCUGAAACUGCUCAGAUUGGAGGAACCACAAUUUGAGUUGGAGGUAUGGCAAAAGGCUCUGGGAUGAUCACAGUGAGUUAAACAUUUCAAACAUUGUUGUAAAGAUAUCGAUUUUUCAUUUACAGGCUCUGGUUUAUGACAAGUAUGGUCUUAUAGGUAGAUGGUGACACGAGUACUAACGGCACAGUCAUUGCUUUGGCGAGCGAACUAUUGGAUCACCUUUUAUAUAUUCUUUGAACUGUAAGGAAGCUGCACAGCUUCAGGCAUGCCUUGAUGCGGUAUGUAUGUCCUUGCCAUCUUUCUAACAGUUGUUCAUAAGAUGGACUUAACAUGGAACUCUUAAACGUAAUAACUCUCAGGUGAUGCAAUGACUUGCCAAAUCAAUAGCUUGGGAUGGUGAAGGCAGUAACAUGUCUGAUAUUGAUAACGAUUUGAUGUUUCAGAUUCUUUGCAGUUCUUUACUUAUGAGGUGUGUUCUUGUGUUUUCAGGUCUGUUGUUUUGUGUGCUCGUUACUGGUGUCAUAACGGAUGCUAUUAAGGAUGCUGUAAGUCGGCCUCGUCCUGGCUUCUUUUGGCGUUGUUUCCCUGAUGGUAGAGGCGUAAGCAGCUCAUCAUUGCUCUUAUUAACACCCUGGAUACUCUCUAUCUAGAUGAUUGAAUUGUUGUGAUUCUCCAUAAAUUUGUAGUUCUUUGACAAUGUCAAAAAGGAUGUUCUAUGUAUUGGAGAUAAAGACGUGGUCAAGGAGGGACACAAGAGCUUCCCCAACCCCACACGUCUUGUUAGUUUUUAUCUUUUUGGGUCUGUUGUGCCAUGAGACAACUUAUCUAAUCGUGUAAUUCAAUGUCAUUAGGAUACGGGUUCUCUGUAUUUUCAGGAAGAGGAAGAUGAGGUUUUCUGUUAUAUUAGUUGGCCUUUGUAUGUAAUUGCUUGCAGGGUUAGAGGCACGGAUGGGUUAAGGCACGGAUGGGAGUUGUAAUAUGUAUUGCAAGUUGAUGUAUAUUUUAGAUGAUAUAAGAAAUAAUAUAUGUUUUAUAAAAUGAAUGAAAUAUAAACUUUUAUUUAUAGAUCUGUUGUUUGUGAGAAAUCUUUAUUUAAUAUUUCAUCAUAAAAUUCAAAGACAACAUAACAAGAAUAUGAUUAAAAAAAAUCUAACACUAAUAUACCUCAAACCAUCUAUCCUAAAGCUCUAAACCCUAAACAUACCCUAAACCUAACUACAUACUUCAAACCCUCUAUCCUAAAUAUAAAUUUCAAGAAUAAUAUUUUAAAGCUUAAAUUUAAAUAUAAAACUCUAAAUUUAAUCAUUUUUGAAAUUUAAUCUCAAAUUAUAUACUUAUUCCCAAAUUCCAAAACCAUAAUUUUAUACGUUAAACUCUUUUCAUAAACCAUAUUCAUUUCAUAUACCCUAAACCCUGAUGUUUGUGGCUUAGCUCCGGUGGACGGUCUUUGGUUGAUAGUCGGAGCCUUACGAGGUCUUCGGAUACCAGGGUUAUCAAAAAAAAAAAAAUCUAAACCUCAAACUUAUAAUAAAAUAUAAAAAAUAAAACUCCAAGUAUAUUCUAAAACUCAAACCAUAUAUUUAAUUCUAAAUCUCAACCUUAAACCCUAAACCACAUAUCUCACAUUAACCUAUAUCAUAAAACAUUAAAUAUUAAUUUUAAAUAAAAUUAAUCAUCUAUCUUUUCGUAAUGAACUUUAUUAGUUUAUUUUUCAAUAAUUUUAUCCUAAAUUUUAACUUAACUACAAUUAUAUUUACACAUUACAAUAGUUGCCAAGAACAAAAGAAUAGAAACUGCAAUAACAAAGAAGGAAAAAAAAAACAAAAACAGAAAUAGAAAAAGCCUCGACCAAUGAGGGUGAAUGGUGAGGAUUACUAAAGUAUUAAUCUCGACCGUUGAUUGAUCUCAAUCCAAUGGAUAUAAUUAAUCGAUUUUUUUCUUUUCUUAUUAACUUCCUGCUCUCUCUCUCUCUCUUCCUCUUCCUCUUCCUCCCCGUCUUGUAUGUUUGCAGAAUUUGUUUUCUCUUUUUCUAAUCUUAGUCUCUUCAUUCCCUUAAUUGUCCGAUAAUAUUUUCUGAUUUGUGUUGACAGAGCAAGCUAGCAGCGGUGGUGGUGUCUGGAAGCUAGUGGCGGCAUGAGAUGGUGGAUGUGGAGCGUACCAUGGAAGACGAUGGCGGAGGAUGGCUCGGCGAGCCAAAGAUUUUCUCAGGGUAUGAGAUCAAGGAGUGAGUCUAAUCUGCGCACUGUGUGCUCAACAAAGAAGCUGUUGAAGGUCGAUGGUGAAGGUCCUUUGUUUCCAAGACUGAGAUGUAGAAGGUUCUUCACUUUCUCUUGCCCUUAAACUGUUCGAUAAUUGCAAUGGAACAUUACUUUAAAGUGUGGAACAUUUUCUUCUUGUGGCUGCAGAUUGAGAUGAGUCGAUUGGAUUGAGAUAUCAUCACCAGCACUGGUCAUCAUCAGAUUGAGAUGCGUCAUUUGGAGACAGAAUAGAGUAAGACAUCGAGAAGAAAGAGGCAAAGGAGGAAGGAGGCGACAACAACAUACCGAUUAGGGUUUAGAGUUAAUUAGGGUGUUCUGGUUUACUUAGUUUUUUAAUUUUGGUUUAGAGUUAAUUAGGGAGGCGACAACAACAUACAGAUUAGGGUUUAGAGUUAAUUAGGGUUAAUUACUAAACCAAUUUGUAACUGUAAACCAAUGUAAUUGUAAACCAAUGUAAUUGUAAACCAAAAUUCAAUUUAUAAAAAUACCAAUUUAUU